AUUGAACGCUGGCGGCAUGCCUUACACAUGCAAGUCGAACGGUAACAGGAGCUUGCUCCGCUGACGAGUGGCGAACGGGUGAGUAAUGUAUCGGAACGUACCAUUCAGUGGGGGAUAACGUAGCGAAAGUUACGCUAAUACCGCAUAUUCUGUGAGCAGGAAAGCAGGGGAUCGCAAGACCUUGCGCUGAUUGAGCGGCCGAUAUCAGAUUAGCUAGUUGGUGAGGUAAAGGCUCACCAAGGCGACGAUCUGUAGCGGGUCUGAGAGGAUGAUCCGCCACACUGGAACUGAGACACGGUCCAGACUCCUACGGGAGGCAGCAGUGGGGAAUUUUGGACAAUGGGGGCAACCCUGAUCCAGCCAUGCCGCGUGAGUGAAGAAGGCCUUCGGGUUGUAAAGCUCUUUCGGCCGGGAAAAAAUCGCAUCAGUUAAUACCUGGUGUGGAUGAUGGUACCGGAAUAAGAAGCACCGGCUAACUACGUG
rnacentral:rRNA from 1 species